rnacentral:rRNA from 1 species
GACGAACGCUGGCGGCGUGCUUAACACAUGCAAGUCGAACGGAAAGGCCCUGCUUUUGUGGGGUGCUCGAGUGGCGAACGGGUGAGUAACACGUGAGUAACCUGCCCCUGACUUUGGGAUAACUUCAGGAAACUGGGGCUAAUACCGGAUAGGAGCUCCUGCUGCACGGUGGGGGUUGGAAAGUUUCGGCGGUUGGGGAUGGUCUCGAGGCUUAUCAGCUUGUUUGUGGGGUAGUGGCUUACCAAGGCUUUGACGGGUAGCCGGCAUGAGAGGGUGACCAGCGACAUUGGGACUGCGGUAGGGAGCAGACUCCUACGGGAGGCAGCAGUGGGAAGUCUUACACAACGGGGGGACGCGUGAUGCGGCAGCGCCGCGUGCGGGAUGACGUCCUUCGAGUUGUAAACCGCUUUCGACUGUGCCGUAGCGUGAGUGACGGUACUGGGUAAAGAAGCACCGGCUAACUACGUG